rnacentral:rRNA from 1 species
GACGAACGCUGGCGGCGUGCUUAACACAUGCAAGUCGAACGGAAAGGCCCUGCUUUUGUGGGGUGCUCGAGUGGCGAACGGGUGAGUAACACGUGAGUAACCUGCCCUUGACUUUGGGAUAACUUCAGGAAACUGGGGCUAAUACCGGAUAGGAGCUCCUGCUGCAUGGUGGGGGUUGGAAAGUUUCGGCGGUUGGGGAUGGACUCGCGGCUUAUCAGCUUGUUGGUGGGGUAGUGGCUUACCAAGGCUUUGACGGGUAGCCGGCCUGAGAGGGUGACCGGCCACAUUGGGACUGAGAUACGGACCAGACUCCUACGGGAGGCAGCAGUGGGGAAUAUGGCACAAUGGGCGGAAGCCUGAGGAAGCAACGCCGCGUGCGGGAUGACGGCCUUCGGGUUGUAAACCGCUUUCGCCUGUGACGAAGCGUGAGUGACGGUAAUGGGUAAAGAAGCACCGGCUAACUACGUG